rnacentral:misc_RNA from 1 species
CACCGCGCUCGCAACCACACUCCACGGAUGAUCAAACCGAUCACCCCACCACCAAAACAAACCCACAAGUUUGCUCUCCAUGUGGGUCACCACAUAAGAGAAUAGA